rnacentral:sRNA from 1 species
AGCAGCCGCGGUAAUUCCAGCUCCAAUAGCGUAUAUUAAAGUUGUUGCAGUUAAAAAGCUCGUAGUUGAAUUUCGGGAUUAAUCUACUGGUCGUGCUAUUGUACGUACUGGUUUUAUUGAUUCCUCCCUUCUGACGAACUAUGAUGUCAUUAAUUUGGUGUCAUAGGGAAUCAGGACUGUUACUUUGAAAAAAUUAGAGUGUUUAAAGCAGGCUCACGCUUGAAUACAUUAGCAUGGAAUAACGGAAUAGGACGUUUGAUUCUAUUUUGUUGGUUUCUAGGAUCGACGUAAUGAUUAAUAGGGAUAGUUGGGGGCAUUAGUAUUCAAUUGUCAGAGGUGAAAUUCUUGGAUUUAUUGAAGACUAACUACUGCGAAAGCAUUUGCCAAGGAUGUUUUCAUUAAUCAAGAACGAAAGUUAGGGGAUCGAAGACGAUCAGAUACCGUCGUAGUCUUAACCAUAAACUAUGCCGACUAGGGAUCGGAUGAUGUUAAUUUUUUAAUGUACUCAUUCGGCGCCUUA